GAAGUCUGUCACAUGAGCCUUGACAUAUGCCAGUGGAGAUUUCACAAUUACACAAUAAAUACAUAAAUGUGCCCCGAUAAAAAUGAUUAAAAAAAAAAAAUCAACUGUUUUACUUAUUGUAGAUGUGCUGUGCUUUAAAAACACCCCAAACAUUGAAUUACUGAAACCGAAAUGCAAGUACAACUAAUGAUAAUGAAGUGUGGUUAAAAAACAAAAACAAAAAAAAAACAAAGUGGGUUAAAUCAGUUUUCCAGUUUCUUUUUAAUCUGGUUCUAUAGACUGUAAAGGUUCUUGACACGUGCUUUGGUAGUUUGGAUUGUGUUUCAGCCACGUGUUAAACAUAGAAACAAGGAGAAAUUCCAGUCCAAUACAUGCAUUUCAGUCUGAGCUACUUCUAUUAUAAAUCAAAUCCUAAUCCUAAAACUAGUGUUAAGUUUAGGGCUACAUUUGAGCCAUGUUUGAUGACGUUGAUUGGGUUAGUGUUCCAGCCACAUGUACUAAUGCAUCCACUUUGACCUUAUCUGUAUGAACCAAACCCAACUACUAGCUCAUGGUUAAGGUUACAAAUGAACCAUGUUUUAACUUAUGGAGUUAAACAAUUAGAGGGUUCCCACUAAUUCUGUUAUUCACCCUAAUCAUGAAAAGAGUGGAUGUUAAAAGAGCAACACUAUCAAUAUCUUCCGUUUUAGUAGACUUUUUUUCAUUUUUUAGCUUCUGGGUCAAAACUUGUUUACCGUAUGAACCUUUUUACAGUCUUUCCAGAUCAAUAGGAGUUACAGUGCAAAUAAAAUCCUUAGAUCAGAGCAUCAUAUCAGUGCACCAUCCUACCAUUACACCAUGGACUAUGCCACAUUUUCUUCUUCCAGUCUACUCUGUCGCUUCCCUUCGCAUAACUUCAGAUGGUGUGCUUGCCGCCGUAGCAUCCCUCGGUUCAGUCAGUCCAUAUCUGUGUGUGUACUGAAUUGUGUAUACAUAACAAAAGUGUCUUAAUGUCUGUUUCUCUGGAGAUUCUCAUUGUAUUUUAGCGGUAUCCUCAUGAAUCGAUGAACCUCAACCAUUGACUUGGAUGUGCGUUCUUGUACCAUCAUGACAUAGACAAUACUGUGUCCUGUAGCUCUUUGUCCAACAAUCGGAUCUUUUAUCUUUCUCCCAUGGUGCGUUCUGUCGGCUAGCUGCUUUUAUUUAACCCUGAUUUCUCUCUCUCGCUCUCUCUCUCUCUCUCUCUCUCUCUCUCUCUCUCUCUCUCUCUGUGACCAAACCAAGUCACCCGAUGGCAAAUACAACUACUACUAUUGCUACUCCUACUAUUCAAUGCUGUUAACGUUGUAAAUCUUGCUCUUGUGGCUUCUGCAUGAAAAUCAAGAAAUUAGUAGGACCGAUGUUUCACUGCCCUUGAUAGAACAAAAAAGAAAAAAAAUUGAUCUUUUAUGGACUUUUAUGGACUGUUACAAGUUGUAUAGUGAGUGAUACUGUCCCUAACCCACUGUAUUAUGUGCUUGUUAUAACUAUUGCUCUAUGACAAGCUUAUAGCAUCAAUAUAUGGGAAUAUUUGGUAGAUUUAUAUUGUGUUAUAUUGUGAUAGCAUGUACAUAAAAGAUACCUCCUCUGCAAUAAAUAUUUAUACAAAA